rnacentral:rRNA from 1 species
GAUGAAUGCUAGCUACAGGCUUAACACAUGCAAGUCGAGGGGUAACGAGAGGAAAGCUUGCUUUCCUUGUCGACGACCGGCGCACGGGUGAGUAACGCGUAUCCAACCUGCCCCCAACUAGGGAAUAACCUUGCGAAAGUAAGACUAAUACCCUAUAAUUUCCUCAGAUGACAUCUGACGAGGAAUAAAGAUUUAUCGUUUGUGGAUGGGGAUGCGUCUGAUUAGCUUGUUGGCGGGGUAACGGCCCAACAAGGCAACGAUCAGUAGGGGUUCUGAGAGGAAGGUCCCCCACAUUGGAACUGAGACACGGUCCAAACUCCUACGGGAGGCAGCAGUGAGGAAUAUUGGUCAAUGGGCGGAAGCCUGAACCAGCCAAGUAGCGUGCAGGAUGACGGCCCUAUGGGUUGUAAACUGCUUUUAUACAGGAAUAAAGUUAGCCACGUGUGGUUAUUUGUAGGUACUGUAUGAAUAAGGACCGGCUAAUUCCGUGCCAGCCGCCGCGGUAA